rnacentral:misc_RNA from 1 species
GAUGAAGAACGCAACAAAAUGCGAUAAGUAAUGUGAAUUGCAGAAUUCAGUGAAUCAUCGAAUCUUUGAACGCACAUUGCGCCCGCUGGUAUUCCGGCGGGCAUGCCUGUUCGAGCGUCAUUUCAACCCUCAAGCCCCCGGGUUUGGUGUUGGGGAUCGGCUCUGCCCUUCUGGGCGGUGCCGCCCCCGAAAUACAUUGGCGGUCUCGCUGCAGCCUCCAUUGCGUAGUAGCUAACACCUCGCAACUGGAACGCGGCGCGGCCAUGCCGUAAAACCCCAACUUCUGAAUGUUGACCUCGGAUCAGGUAGGAAUACCCGCUGAACUUAAGCAUAUCAAUAAGCGGAGGA